AUCUCUUGGUUCUGGCAUCGAUGAAGAACGCAGCGAAAUGCGAUAAGUAAUGUGAAUUGCAGAAUUCAGUGAAUCAUCGAAUCUUUGAACGCACAUUGCGCCUCUUGGUAUUCCAGGAGGCAUGCCUGUUCGAGCGUCAUU
rnacentral:rRNA from 1 species